CUAUAUGGAUAGGCUAGCGCUCAAGAGAUAAAAGUUAUGAAUUAAAAAUAUAUUAUAUUAGAUUAAUUCAUCAAAAUUAAAGAUUAAAAUCAGGUAGGAAAAGAAAAUUAAAAUUAAAAAUAAAGAAAAAAAUAUGAAUAACAACAACAAUGUAUAUCUACUAAAAGGUACGUGAGUUGGGUUCAAUACGACGUGAGUC
rnacentral:rRNA from 1 species